UGAGGCCAGGACCCCCAGCAGGCCAGCCUCAGAGACACACCCUUCUAGGAGACAUCCUUCCCAAGAUAAGUAAAACUGUGGUUCAAAGAGGCCCUGGGACCACCUGCGAAGAUCCUGGGAUUCAUCAGGGGUCUGAACCUUGGAUCACACCUGCUCCGGCUAUUCUGAUGUCAUCUCCAUCUCCUGGAGACAGUUGCUGCAUGAGAACAAAGGCAGGGCCCAGACGAGGUCUGGAGGGAUAAGCGGCAGGGAUCUGGGCACUGAGCUGAGGCACUGGGCAGGCAGAGCCAUUGCCCUCGCCCCUACCAUGAACCCCUACAGAGAUGCUGCUAGAACCUUGCUUUCUAAGGGGUAGGAGGGUCUGGCUGCCUCUGCCUCUACUCACCCCAUAGACACACAGGCCUUCUCUCCAUCCAGGGAGAACAUAGCUGCCAAGAGCAGUCCUGCCCCCACACCAGGCUCCCCAGCAGUGAGGAGCUGGGCUGGGCUGUCCUCACCCGCCCUCUUGGCCUCACCCUGGCCCUUCCCUGGCCCUGCCUCGGGAUGCCAGGACCCAUAGCAGGUGCCUGGACAGGCUUGGGGAUGGAAAGGGGGCUGGGCACAGAAGGCCAGCUUCUGGCCAAGAACAGAACUCAUAGAGAAACAAGUUCCAGAAUCCUCUUCAUCCUCCUUUUCCCCACCCACUCUUUAGUUUUGUUAAUAAAUACAGCUACCAUAUACUAAGCACUUAUUGUCUUCCUUUGCA
rnacentral:lncRNA from 1 species